CGUUCCCUCAUGCUUUCUCUCCCUUCACUUGUAGGGUUCACAGGCAAAACUUCUGUAAAACGUUACCUGCUCUAUUUUUGUAUGGUCCAGAAAAUAGAGAUGCUUAACUCAUAAUAAAACUCAAGAAAGGAGAUUUUCACUUGUCAGAGCCACUGCCUAUAAGCUAUGCCAAAGGAUUUGUGAGGAAUUAAUGAUUUUCUCGUGUUAUCCUGUUGUAAUGAACCAGUUCCAUAACUGGGAAUUGGAAUUUUAUGGUUGAUUGAUGGUCUUGUUCCCUUGAAAAGAUUAAUGAAAUUGCUAUGAUUAUAU